GACGAACGCUGGCGGCGUGCUUAACACAUGCAAGUCGAACGGAAAGGCCCUGCGUUUGUGGGUUGCUCGAGUGGCGAACGGGUGAGUAACACGUGAGUAACCUGCCCUUGACUGUGGGAUAACUUCAGGGAACUGGGGCUAAUACCGGAUAGAAGCUACUGAUGCAUGGGGGGGGUUGGAGAGUGUCGGCGGUUGGGGAUGGACUCGCGGCUUAUCAGCUGGUUGGUGGGGUAGUGGCUUACCAAGCCUUUGACGGGUAGCCGGCCUGAGAGGGUGACCGGCCACAUUGGGACUGAGAUACGGCCCAGACUCCUACGGGAGGCAGCAGUGGGGAAUAUUGCACAAUGGGCGGAAGCCUGAUGCAGCAACGUCGCGUGCGGGAUGACGGCUUUCGGGUUGUAAACCGCUUUCGCCUGUGACGAAGCGUGAGUGACGGUAAUGGGUAAAGAAGCACCGGCUAACUACGUG
rnacentral:rRNA from 1 species